rnacentral:rRNA from 1 species
AUGUACGCAUGUGUGUGUGAGCUUCACUCCACUCCGCGGACGCAACCUCACCCGAACUUUCCGCCCGUUCAUACGCCACGCUGGCGCACGCGCCCAUGGAAACAGCCGUCCCAGCGAGCCAAGUGUACAUGGGUGGGCCCGUGCACGAAACUGCUCUUCUCCUUUCCUCUUUCUUCAACCCCCAGCCGUCGCGGCUCCCCUUCUUCACAUACCGCAGCCUCCCUUCAUGUCUCUCACAACUGUAAGCUCUGUCACCGGCGACAAAGUGCUACCACCGGCCGGCGAGGAGCACAGGAAAGCUACAACCCACCGCUGAUGGUGCUGGAACCGUGUGCAUAA